UUGAACGCUGGCGGCAUGCCUAACACAUGCAAGUCGCACGCGAAAGGGGGCAACCCUGAGUAGAGUGGCGGACGGGUGAGUAAUACAUAGGAAUCUACCCAGUAGUGGGGGACAACCCGGUGAAAACCGGGCUAAUACCGCAUACGACCUACGGGUGAAAGUGGGGGACCGCAAGGCCUCGCGCUAUUGGAUGAGCCUAUGUCCGAUUAGCUAGUUGGUGGGGUAAAGGCCUACCAAGGCAACGAUCGGUAGCUGGUUUGAGAGAACGACCAGCCACACUGGGACUGAGACACGGCCCAGACUCCUACGGGAGGCAGCAGUGGGGAAUCUUGGACAAUGGGGGCAACCCUGAUCCAGCAAUGCCGCGUGUGUGAAGAAGGCCUUCGGGUUGUAAAGCACUUUCGGUGGGGACGAACAUGGUCGGGUGAAUAUCCCGGCCCUUGACGGUACCCAAAGAAGAAGCACCGGCUAACUCUGU
rnacentral:rRNA from 1 species